rnacentral:rRNA from 1 species
AUGAUGUCUUCUUGCACCAGCUUCACGCUACCUCUGAAUCAUCUUGUGGUUUCGGUCAAAGCGGCAUCCAAUGGGUCAAAGACCAUUGCUUCUCUCUCUGAUGUGUGGGUGUUAGUGGACGACGUUCCUCCCAGCAUGCGUACCUCGACUUUUCUGAUGGCUUUUGGGGUGCUGCUUGGGAAGCCAAUCGAGAUUGAUCAAGAUUCGUUAUCUGUUCUUGGACCAGCUAGGCUUCGGUUGUGGUGCGUUGACCUGACCUGCAUUCGUGGCUCUGUUGAUGUUUUUCCGGCGGCGGGUGGCUUUCGUCUUCGGGUCCGGGUGGAGGGUGCUCCUGGCCCUAUUUCUCCUCCUCCCCCUCCACCUCCGGCCUCGGGCGACGAUGAUAAAAGCAAGGAUGGUGAUGGGGGCCUUGAGGACUCGAUGCAUGGCACGGACCCUCGCUUCACCCAGUCUGCUUGGGAUGGGAUGUCUCCUGCUGAUCAAGAGCUGAUGAAAGACUGUGCUCCAGCUCCAGCGGGUGGUGGGGUCCAGGGCUCGAUGCCAGGAGUGGGUGGUGGGCCUGUGGCCGCGGGUGGGUCAAAGGGCACCCUCAUUUCGUCGGCGUGCUCUAACCUUCCCGCUCGCCCCACCUCCCCGUCGCUGUCAGGCAUUGAAGAUCUACCUCCGGCAGGCCCGUCGGCGGCCAAGAAGAGGAAGAAAUCAUCGGUGAAGAAGUUCUCUGCGAAGAGCAGGGCCUCUGGGGACUCCACGCAGUCCGCGGCUGGGCUCUGUCGCCGGUUGGAGGUGGAUUUGGGGGCGGCCUCGGGCCCGUCUUCGGCGGCUGCUUCUCCUGGCCGGGCCCCCCCUGUGCCUGUUCGGUCCCCUGCCUCCACCGCCCACAAGAGUGGCUGUGUCUCCAACAGUGGCGAACGCGUGGUUGACCGGGCGGCUCGGCGUGCGGCGGCGUGUGAUCUUCCCCCCUCAGGUUCGUGUCGUUUCCGUCGCCUUCCCCUUCUUUGGCUUCGUCUCCUGUUAGACUAG